AUUGAACGCUGGCGGCAUGCUUUACACAUGCAAGUCGAACGGUAACAGGCCUUCGGGUGCUGACGAGUGGCGAACGGGCGAGUAAUGCAUCGGAACGUGCCCAGAGGUGGGGGAUAACGCAGCGAAAGCUGUGCUAAUACCGCAUGUGAUCUGAGGAUGAAAGCGGGGGACCAGGCAGCAAUGUUUGGCCUCGCGCCUUUGGAGCGGCCGAUGUCAGAUUAGGUAGUUGGUGGGGUAAAGGCCUACCAAGCCGACGAUCUGUAGCUGGUCUGAGAGGACGACCAGCCACACUGGGACUGAGACACGGCCCAGACUCCUACGGGAGGCAGCAGUGGGGAAUUUUGGACAAUGGGCGCAAGCCUGAUCCAGCAAUGCCGCGUGCGGGAAGAAGGCCUUCGGGUUGUAAACCGCUUUUGUACGGAACGAAAAGGCUCUGGCUAAUACCUGGGGCUGAUGACGGUACCGUAAGAAUAAGCACCGGCUAACUACGUG
rnacentral:rRNA from 1 species